AGCAGACACUGCUAUUUUUUUUUUGGAAACUGCAAGAAGAGGAAUCGCCUAAAUCCGGAAGAAAAUUAUCACCCUGGGCCUUCAACAUUUCUUGGUCUACACAGCCCAGUUGAAACUGACAGACAAAUGGAUGAAGUGUGAUGGAUGGUGGGAAAGUUCCCUGGGUUCAUUUGCAUGAAUCAUGGGAGCGAGGUCGUUUGCGGUGCGGAGGCAGGCCUUCUCCAGUCGCGGUUUAAUGAACCGAGGCGCAGCACCUGCGACCCACUGAGCCGGAGCGCUGACCGCUGGAGGAGCAGCUGAGAGUUUUGGGCCUGGGGAUUUCAUUAGGGCCAAGUUCAUUAAGGAAAUGGAUCAGGACCCUCCAUUCUCUUGCAUUAUAUGAGGACUGGAUUCUGAGAGAGACCCUCGCGUGUGGAAGAAGCAAGCCUGUCACAUUUUGAUUGAGAAAAUACUAAUGGAGUUCCCAAAGCCAGCGACAUCUGAUGUGACGGAAAUUCUCCAUUCCUUUCCAAUGUGCCCAGCCCGUGCUGUACCCUGUGUGUGUCUGUGUGAGCUGAGCUCCACUUGAGGUAGGUGGUAUACACUCUAAGAACACUGCAGUGUUUCCCCUUUUCACACCCCAUGUAAAAUCCCUUUAAAGGCUUACGUGGCAGGAUGCCAUUCAGCCUAGCUGUGGAAAUGCCCAAGCGCUGUAUUCUUCUCCAGUGCAAGAGCAGGUUUAAUCUAGAAAAGGUUCAACACAACACAAUCCCAGGCCAUCCAAUCUGAGAGGAAGACUAAUAAGUGAGCCAGCUAACCACAUUUUGGUCUCUCCAAGGAAUCUUUUCUAAAUCAAAAUUAAACAGAGCAGAAUGAUGCCUUUUAUUGUUCUUUGAUUAUUGCAUAAAACCGUAGUAGCUAAUCAACUUUUGUUUAUGUCUACACUGAAUUUGUGUACCACAUGGGUAGAAAACCAGGUAAAGUAGCUACAUGAUUAAAAACCAUCUAGGGGGAGCUAAAGACAAAAAUGGAAUUCCCUCUGGUAGUAGUAGUAUAGUUUGAUCUUUCCAGUUUGCUUUUCAGUUGAUUUUACAGUUUACAGUGUUUGCUGUGUAUUCAAAGUUAAGUUUGUUGUAUUUCAUUAGUAUUUUCCUGAAGGACAUAUCAACAGUUCUCGGUCUCUUAUUUGAACUCACACUCAUGU